UACGGAGGGUGCAAGCGUUAUCCGGAUUCACUGGGUUUAAAGGGUGCGUAGGUGGGCAAGUAAGUCAGUGGUGAAAUCUCCGGGCUUAACCCGGAAACUGCCAUUGAUACUAUUUGUCUUGAAUACUGUGGAGGUCAGCGGAAUAUGUCAUGUAGCGGUGAAAUGCUUAGAUAUGACAUAGAACACCAAUUGCGAAGGCAGCUGGCUACACAAUUAUUGACACUGAGGCACGAAAGCGUGGGGAGUCAAACAGGA
rnacentral:rRNA from 1 species